UACGGAGGGUGCAAGCGUUAAUCGGAAUUACUGGGCGUAAAGCGUGCGCAGGCGGUUUGUUAAGUCCGUUGUGAAAGCCCCGAGCUCAACUUGGGAAUUGCAGUGGAUACUGGCAGGCUGGAGUACGGUAGAGGAAGGUGGAAUUCCCGGUGUAGCAGUGAAAUGCGUAGAUAUCGGGAGGAACACCUGUGGCGAAAGCGGCGCACUGGACCACAACUGACGCUGAGGCGCGAAAGCUAGGGGAGCAAACAGG
rnacentral:rRNA from 1 species